rnacentral:rRNA from 1 species
AACGAACGCUGGCGGCAGGCUUAACACAUGCAAGUCGAGCGCCCCGCAAGGGGAGCGGCAGACGGGUGAGUAACGCGUGGGAAUCUACCCAUCUCUGCGGAACAACUCCGUGAAACUGGAGCUAAUACCGCAUACGCCCUUCGGGGGAAAGAUUUAUCGGAGAUGGAUGAGCCCGCGUUGGAUUAGCUAGUUGGUGGGGUAAAGGCCUACCAAGGCGACGAUCCAUAGCUGGUCUGAGAGGAUGAUCAGCCACACUGGGACUGAGACACGGCCCAGACUCCUACGGGAGGCAGCAGUGGGGAAUAUUGGACAAUGGGCGCAAGCCUGAUCCAGCCAUGCCGCGUGAGUGAUGAAGGCCCUAGGGUUGUAAAGCUCUUUCACCGAUGAAGAUAAUGACGGUAGUCGGAGAAGAAGCCCCGGCUAACUUCGUGCCAGCCGCCGCAGUAAAAC